rnacentral:rRNA from 1 species
ACGAACGCUGGCGGCGUGCUUAACCCAUGCAAGUCGAACGGAAAGGCCCUGCUUUUGUGGGGUGCUCGAGUGGCGAACGGGUGAGUAACACGUGAGUAACCUGCCCUUGACUUUGGGAUAACUUCAGGAAACUGGGGCUAAUACCGGAUAGGAGCUCCUGCUGCAUGGUGGGGGUUGGAAAGUUUCGGCGGUUGGGGAUGGACUCGCGGCUUAUCAGCUUGUUGGUGGGGUAGUGGCUUACCAAGGCUUUGACGGGUAGCCGGCCUGAGAGGGUGACCGGCCACAUUGGGACUGAGAUACGGCCCAGACUCCCACGGGAGGCAGCAGUGGGGAAUAUUGCACAAUGGGCGGAAGCCUGAUGCAGCAACGCCGCGUGCGGGAUGACGGCCUUCGGGUUGUAAACCGCUUUCGCCUGUGACGAAGCGUGAGUGACGGUAAUGGGUAAAGAAGCACCGGCUAACUACGUG